UACGUAGGGCGCAAGCGUUUAUCCGGAAUUAUUGGGCGUAAAGAGCUCGUAGGCGGUUUGUCGCGUCUGCUGUGAAAACCCGAGGCUCAACCUCGGGCCUGCAGUGGGUACGGGCAGACUAGAGUGCGGUAGGGGAGAUUGGAAUUCCUGGUGUAGCGGUGGAAUGCGCAGAUAUCAGGAGGAACACCGAUGGCGAAGGCAGAUCUCUGGGCCGUAACUGACGCUGAGGAGCGAAAGCAUGGGGAGCGGACAGG
rnacentral:rRNA from 1 species